rnacentral:rRNA from 1 species
AACGAACGCUGGCGGCGUGUCUUAAGCAUGCAAGUCGUGCGGCAAGGGUAGCAAUACCCCUAGAGCGGCGGACUGGUGAGUAACGCGUGGGUGAUCUACCUUUGGGAUGGGGAUAGCCACUAGAAAUAGCGGGUAAUACCGAAUACGUUCGUCGGGCCUUGGCCUGACGAGGAAAGGCGCUUCGGCGCCACCCGAAGAUGAGCCCGCGUCCCAUUAGCUAGUUGGUGAGGUAAAGGCCCACCAAGGCGAUGAUGGGUAGGCGGCCUGAGAGGGUGUACGCCCACAUUGGGACUGAGAUACGGCCCAAACUCCUACGGGAGGCAGCAGCUAAGAAUAUUCCGCAAUGGACGAAAGUCUGACGGAGCGACGCCGCGUGGAUGAUGAAGGCCGAAAGGUUGUAAAGUCCUUUUGUUGGGAAGAAUAACCAUGGGAGUAAUGCCCGUGGGAUGACAUGAACCGACGAAUAAGCCCCGGCUAACUACGUG